rnacentral:SRP_RNA from 1 species
GCUGGGCAUGGUGGUACACACCUGUCACCCGAGCUACCAGGGAGGCGGAGGCUGGCGUACCUCCUGACCUGGGGAAUCCCAAGAAGCCAUGGACUGAGCCAUCUGGGCGCCUGUCUGGCAUCAAUAUGGUGAGUCCCUGCAAGUGGGGACCACCUGGUUGCCUAAAGAGGGAUGAAGCAAUCCAGGCUGGAAAGUGAGCGGACACACAGCCCCUUGCCCAUCGGCAGUGUGAUGGACCUGUCAGCAGCCACGGCACUUCCAGCCUCAGUAAGACAGAGAGAGAACCAGCCUUU